UACGAAGGGGGGCUAGCGUUGUUCGGAAUUACUGGGCGUAAAGCGCGCGCAGGCGGUCUUCCAAGUCAGUGGUGAAAGCCUGGAGCUCAACUCCAGAACUGCCAUUGAAACUGUUAGACUUGAGUACGAGAGAGGUGAGUGGAAUUCCCAGUGUAGAGGUGAAAUUCGUAGAUAUUGGGAAGAACACCAGUGGCGAAGGCGGCUCACUGGCUCGUAACUGACGCUCAGGCGCGACAGCGUGGGGGAUCAAACAGG
rnacentral:rRNA from 1 species